rnacentral:lncRNA from 1 species
UAACUUGUGCAAAUGAAUAAAGCUGGUAAACAGCUCAAUCACCAUCAAGAUUACAUCAAAUAUCAUCUUAUCAUAGUUCAAAAUGAACUAGAUUACAUUACAUAAACAAAAAAAAAAUUCAAAUGAAACUAAACAUCCUUGCUUUCUCGUGCAAACUGCUGCUUCUGCAUGGUGGUCUUCAAUGCUGCAUGCUAACCACCUUUCAACACUCCUCCUUGGUUAGCAUGUUGCUAACUCCCAUCUUCAUUCUUAAGCUUUGAAACCUUGAAACAUUAAGAGGUUUUGUUAAAAUAUCAGCUAAUUGUUC